rnacentral:rRNA from 1 species
GGGCCUGCGGCCUAUCAGCUUGUUGGUGGGGUGAUGGCCUACCAAGGCGACGACGGGUAGCCGGCCUGAGAGGGCGACCGGCCACACUGGGACUGAGACACGGCCCAGACUCCUACGGGAGGCAGCAGUGGGGAAUAUUGCGCAAUGGGCGGAAGCCUGACGCAGCGACGCCGCGUGGGGGAUGACGGCCUUCGGGUUGUAAACCUCUUUCGCCAUCGACGAAGGUUCUGUGGUUGUGAGGCUGCAGGGUUGACGGUAGGUGGAGAAGAAGCACCGGCCAACUACGUGCCAGCAGCCGCGGUAAUACGUAGGGUGCGAGCGUUGUCCGGAAUUAUUGGGCGUAAAGAGCUCGUAGGCGGUGUGUCGCGUCGGCCGUGAAAACCUGCAGCUUAACUGUGGGCGUGCGGUCGAUACGGGCAUCACUGGAGUUCGGCAGGGGAGACUGGAAUUCCUGGUGUAGCGGUGAAAUGCGCAGAUAUCAGGAGGAACACCGGUGGCGAAGGCGGGUCUCUGGGCCGAUACUGACGCUGAGGAGCGAAAGCGUGGGGAGCGAACAGGAUUAGAUACCCUGGUAGUCCACGCCGUAAACGGUGGGCGCUAGGUGUGGGGGCCAUUCCACGGUCUCUGUGCCGCAGCUAACGCAUUAAGCGCCCCGCCUGGGGAGUACGGCCGCAAGGCUAAAACUCAAAGGAAUUGACGGAAUCGAAUU